GUGGGCUCAGAGCAGGCACAGC
rnacentral:miRNA from 1 species